UACAAAGGGAGCGUAAAGCCA
rnacentral:siRNA from 1 species